GGUCUCGUAGCUCAGUUGGCAGAGCAUUGGACUAGUAUACCAAAGGUCGCGGGUUCGAUUCCCAACGUGGUCA
rnacentral:tRNA from 1 species